UUAACAGCAAUUUGUAAGUCGUUCUGGAUAAGAGCAUCUGCUAAAUGACGUAAA
rfam:Salmo salar isolate Sally breed double haploid chromosome ssa01, whole genome shotgun sequence.